AUAUAAAUAUAUGGUACACUUACGGUUAUCUGCUAUGUGAUCCACAGGUUGAGAACUGCUGUUCUUCAUCUACAAAGGGCUUCUGCAAAGGACACAGUGCCAUUGCCCAUUUUUCUUUGGGAGAUGGGUGGGCAGAUACCUGGGGCUACUAUGAGCUCUUGUGGAGGGACAGGUUAGUUCUAGUUAUCUUUGUGUAUGGUCCUAUCUCACAAGUGGGAACAGUGACUGUACUGGAUCAAUUCUAAUUCUUUUUAUUCCAGUACCAAAAUCCUAUGGAGUAGAUAAUUGUUCUCUUAUGUGAGAGCAAACUGAAGCUCACAUAGGUUCAUACAAGAGUAAGUAUGUGACCAUAUGCCAAACCUGUGUCUUCAUAUUAUUUUCCUGCCUCCUCCUUUGCUCACUCAGUGUGAACUGAGAAUGAUUGAGGGUUAGGUUAGCGGUUUCCACCCAGGAUUGAUUAGCAGAUGGGAGGCAGAUAGUAUUUGUCAGCCUCCAAAAGGAAAAAGAUGAUGAACCAGAGUGGUAAUUAGAGCAAGUUGAAGGGAGAUGCUGUAUGUAGAGUUGUGGUUGAGUUAACGGGAAUCAGCAGGGAAGGUGAGGCACUGGGGAAGUUACCACCUCCGGGUUAGGCGGUACCAGAGAAGAAUGGCAUGGUGUAGUUGCAGAGAAUGGCCAACACUAAAAACAUGGUGAAAUGAACUGUAGAAGGGGAAAAUUCAAUUUCAUCCUCCCCUCACCCACAGAAAUCAAAGGAUCCCAAGUGGUAUUCAUCAAAGAGCAGAACCAAGUGGAUUGGAGAAUCUACCCUGGGGGAACGGAAUGGGUCCUCUAGUAUCUGUAGGGAAAGAAAGCAGGUCAAGCACAGCUGGGCUCAGCAUGAGGAGAUGCCAAGACUUAUGUGGGAUUCUGAAGGGAGCUGCAGGGCCUGCUGAGUAGUCUGUUGGAGUCACUGUUUCACACAAGCCAAUAUGAAUAAGUCAACAAGAUCGUGAUAUCUAGAAAAAGGAUGGGGAAAUAAAGUUAGGCUGAGAGAAGACCUGGGUGGGUACUUGGCCCUUCACUAACAACAGCUCCUGGAUGGAGGCAUGUGGCUUAGGGAACGUGUGAGCCGCACCUGUGCAAUCUUAUUUUGCUCUUUUCUUUGUUGCAGUGACCUGCAGUGUGAGUGCCAUCAGGCACAAAGACACCCAGACAACAGACUUUGGCAGUGCGUAAUUAGCAUGCCGGUUCCUGAAGCAGAAAAAACUCAACCCUAAAAUCCUGUUCUCCAGAACGCUUAGCUCCCAGCAUUCGCUGUGGGUGGGGCGAACCUUUGACCUCCAGCAAGCGCAGGUGCUAGUGCGCAAGUGCAUGCUGCACAUCCGGGACUCUGUUACUAGGAAGAAAAGAUGGCAAUGGCCUCAGCCGCUGUGGUGGUUCCCACUGAGUGGAUCAAGAACUGGGAGAAAUCUGGGAGAGGCGAAUUUUUGCGUUUAUGCAGGAUUCUCAGUGAAAGUAAAAGCCGCGACACUUUGGCUUGUAGAGAUUUCCAGCAAGCUCUCUAUGAGUUGUCAUACUAUGUCAUUAGAGGAACUUUAAAGCCUGAACAGGCAUCAAAUGUUCUUAGUGACAUCAGUGAAUUUCGAGAAGACAUUCCACUUAUUCUUGCCGAUAUAUUCUGCAUGCUGGAUAUUGAGACGAACUGUUUAGAAGAAAAAAGCAAGAGAGAUCAUUUUACACAAUUGGUGUUAGCAUGUUUAUAUUUAGUUUCAGACACAGUUCUAAAGGAACGCUUGGAUCCGGAAACAUUGGAGUCAUUAGGCCUUAUCAAACAAUCACAGCAGUUCAAUCAAAAGUCAGUCAAAAUCAAGACGAAACUCUUUUAUAAACAGCAGAAGUUCAAUUUGUUAAGAGAAGAAAAUGAAGGUUAUGCCAAGCUGAUUGUUGAAUUAGGGCAGGAUUUAUCUGGAAAUAUUACUAGUGAUUUAAUCUUAGAAAUUCUCAAAUCUUUAAUAGGAUGCUUCAAUCUGGAUCCCAAUCGAGUUUUGGAUAUCAUCUUAGAAGUGUUUGAGUGCAGGCCAGAACACCAUGAUUUCUUUAUAUCUUUAUUAGAAGCUUACAUGGGUAUGUGUGAACCACAAACACUGUGUCAUAUUCUUGGGUUCAAAUUCAAGUUUUACCAGGAACCAAAUGGUGAGACUCCAUCGUCCUUGUACACAGUUGCAGCAGUACUUCUACAGUUUAAUCUUAUUGAUUUGGAUGGUCUUUAUGUACACCUUCUUCCAGCUGAUUCUUGUAUUGUGAAUGAAUACAAACGAGAAAUUGUGGAAGCUAAGCACAUUGUUAGGAAACUUACAAUGGUUGUAUUGCCUUCUGACAAAAGUGAUGAACGAGAAAAAGAAAAGAAAAAAGAUGACAAAGUAGAGAAGGUACCUGACAAUCAAAAACUUGGUUUGCUGGAAGCCUUGUUAGUUAUUGGUGAUUGGCAGCAUGCACAGAGUAUUAUGGAUCGUAUGCCUCCGUACUAUGCAGCAUCACAUAAAGUAAUAGCCCUUGCUAUUUGCAGUCUUAUACAUAUAACUAUUGAGCCUCUUUACCGAAGAGUUGGCGUCCCGAAAGGUGCUAAAGGCUCACCUGUCAAUGCUUUACAAAACAAGAAGUCGCCAAAGCCAGUGGAGAGCUUUGAAGACUUAAGGAAAGAUGUAUUCAGUAUGUUUUGUUAUCUUGGUCCUUACCUUUCUCAUGAUCCCAUCUUAUUUGCAAAGGUUGUGCGUAUAGGCAAGUCAUUUAUGAAGGAAUUUCAGUCUGAUGGGAAACAAGAAAAUAAGGAGAAGAUGGAAGUUAUUUUUAGUUGUUUGCUUAGCAUUACUGACCAGGUACUCCUUCCGUCUCUUUCUUUGAUGGAUUGCAAUGCGUGUAUGUCAGAGGAACUAUGGGGAAUGUUUAAAACAUUUCCUUAUCAGCAUAGAUACCGCUUAUAUGGCCAGUGGAAGAAUGAGACUUACCAUAGUCACCCACUUUUAGUAAAGGUUAAAGCCCAUACAGUAGACAGAGCCAAGUACAUCAUGAAGCGUCUAACUAAGGAAAAUGUGAAGCCUUCGGGAAGACAGAUUGGGAAACUGAGUCACAGCAAUCCAACCAUUUUGUUUGAUUAUGUCUUGUCACAAAUACAGAAGUACGAUAACUUAAUAACACCUGUGGUGGACUCAUUGAAAUAUCUCACUGCGUUGAAUUACGAUGUUUUGGCCUAUUGUAUCAUCGAAGCUUUAGCUAAUCCAGAAAAAGAAAGAAUGAAACACGAUGAUACAACCAUCUCAAGCUGGCUCCAGAGUCUGGCUAGUUUCUGUGGUGCAGUGUUCCGUAAAUACCCGAUUGACCUUGCUGGUCUUCUUCAGUAUGUAGCCAAUCAGUUAAAGGCAGGCAAAAGUUUUGACCUGCUUAUAUUGAAAGAAGUGGUACAAAAAAUGGCAGGAAUAGAAGUUACAGAAGAAAUGACAACGGAGCAGCUAGAGGCUAUGACUGGUGGGGAGCAACUGAAAGCUGAGGGUGGGUAUUUUGGCCAGAUAAGAAACACUAAGAAAUCCUCUCAGAGAUUGAAGGAUGCACUACUGGACCAUGAUCUUGCCCUUCCUCUCUGUUUGCUUAUGGCUCAGCAGAGGAAUGGGGUGAUCUUUCAGGAAGGUGGAGAGAAACAUUUGAAACUUGUUGGAAAGUUGUAUGACCAGUGUCAUGAUACUUUAGUACAGUUUGGUGGAUUUUUAGCAUCAAAUUUAAGCACAGAUGAUUACAUAAAGAGAGUGCCUUCGAUUGAUGUGCUGUGCAAUGAAUUUCAUACGCCCCAUGAUGCAGCCUUUUUUCUGUCUCGGCCAAUGUAUGCACACCAUAUUUCAUCAAAGUACGAUGAGCUUAAGAAAUCGGAAAAGGGUAGUAAGCAGCAGCAUAAAGUUCAUAAGUACAUUACAGCAUGUGAAAUGGUGAUGGCUCCUGUCCAUGAAGCAGUGAUCUCCUUACACAUUUCUAAAGUCUGGGAAGAUAUCAGCCCUCAGUUCUACACCACAUUCUGGUCUCUAACAAUGUAUGACCUUGCAGUUCCACAUACCAGCUAUGAACGAGAGGUCAGUAAACUUAAGAUUCAGAUGAAAGCGAUUGAUGACAAUCAAGAAAUGCCUCUGAAUAAAAAGAAAAAAGAGAAAGAGCGCUGUACUGCCCUUCAGGACAAGCUUCUUGAAGAAGAAAAGAAACAGAUGGAGCAUGUGCAGCGGGUUCUACAGAGACUGAAACUGGAAAAGGACAACUGGCUCUUAGCAAAAUCUACUAAAAAUGAGACCAUCACCAAGUUUCUCCAGUUGUGUAUAUUUCCUCGGUGUAUUUUUUCUGCAAUUGAUUCUGUUUACUGUGCUCAUUUUGUUGAGUUGGUCCAUCAGCAGAAGACUCCAAAUUUCUCCACACUUCUCUGCUAUGACCGAGUUUUCUCUGACAUAAUUUACAUGGUUGCUAGCUUUACUGAAAAUGAAGCUAGUCGAUAUGGGAGAUUUCUUUGCUGCAUGUUAGAGACUGUGACUAGGUGGCAUAGCGACAGAUCCACCUAUGAGAAGGAAUGUGGAAACUAUCCAGGAUUUCUUACUAUACUACGAGCAACUGGAUUUGAUGGUGGAAAUAAAGCUGAUCAGUUAGAUUAUGAGAAUUUUCGACAUGUUGUACAUAAAUGGCAUUAUAAACUUACCAAGGCAUCAGUACAUUGCCUUGAAACUGGUGAAUACACUCAUAUCAGGAAUAUCUUGAUUGUGCUAACAAAAAUACUGCCAUGGUACCCCAAAGUUUUAAAUUUGGGUCAGGCUUUGGAAAGAAGAGUGCAUAAAAUCUGCCAAGAAGAGAAAGAAAAGAAGCCAGAUCUGUAUGCAUUAGCAAUGGUUUACUCUGGGCAGCUGAAAAGUAGAAAGUCACACAUGAUUCCUGAAAAUGAAUUUCAUCACAAAGAUCCUCCUCCAAGAAAUGCUGGUACAAGUACGCAAAAUGGGCCGUGUAGUGGGCUGCCGUUGUCCAUAGGAAGUACAUCUAAGUCAGAUGAGAGCAGUACCGAGGAGACUGACAAGACCCGGGAAAGGACUCAGUGUGGUGUGAAAGCUCCUAAUAAAGUUUCUAGCACCAUACCAAAAGGGAAUUCAAGCAAUGGAAAUAGUGGCUCCAGUACCAAAGCUGUUAAGGAAAACGACAAAGAGAAGGGGAAAGAGAAGGAAAAAGAGAAAAAGGAAAAGACUCCAGCUGUUACCCCAGAGACUAGGGUACUUGGUAAAGACAAUAAAGAAAAACCCAAGGAAGAGCAGCCUAAUAAAGAUGAAAAGAUAAGAGAGACCAAGGAAAGAAUGCCUAAAUCUGACAAAGAUAAGGAAAAAUUAAAGAAAGAGGAAAAAGCUAAAGAUGAGAAAUUCAGGAUCAUCAUCCCCAAUGUAGAAUCAAAAUCCUCUCAAGAAAGAGAAAAAGAGAAAGAGCCAUCAAAAGAAAGAGACUUAAUAAAGGAAAUAAAAUCAAAAGAAAAUGUUAAAGGAGGAGAAAAAGCGCCAAUUUCUGGGGCCUUGAAAUCACCUGUUUCUCGAACAGAUAAUUUAGAGCCUGAAAGAGAAAAACGUCGCAAGGUUGAUUCCCACCCUUCUCCAUCACAUUCUUCCACAAUAAAGGAGAGUCUCAUCAAGCUCAAGGAGUCUUCAGCAAAGCUCUAUAUCAACCAUGCUCCACCACCAUUGUGCAAGAAUAAGGAGAGAGAAACGGACAAGAAAGAUUUGGACAAGUCAAGAGAAAGAUCCAGAGAAAGAGAGAAAAAAGAUGAAAAGGACCGGAAAGAGCGGAAACGGGAUUAUUCAAACAAUGACCGGGAAGUGCCCUUAGACUUAGUGAAAAGGCGGAAAGAUGAAAAUGGCAUAUUGGGGAUUUCAAAACACAAAAGUGAAACUCCCUGUGAGUCUGCUUAUCCAAAUGAGAAAGACAAGGAAAAGAAUAAGUCAAAAUCCUCAGGCAAAGAAAAAGGUGAUUCCUUUAAACCUGAAAAGACGGAUAAAAUAUCCAGUGGGAAAAAGGAGUCUGGACAUGAUAAAGAAAAGGUAGAAAAGAAAGAGAAAUGGGACAGUUCUGGAGAUAAGGAAGAGAAGAAGCAUCAUAAGUCCUCAGAUAAGCACAGAUAAUGGAGGCCUUGAGCCAAGAGUGUGGGCAGGCCUCCAAGCUGAAGGUUUCCCAGCCAAGGGUGCCAGAGCUCUGUGUCACUCUGAAAACUUACUUAUGAGCUUCUGAUGCUGUCCAUCUUAAGAGAAUCUGCUUAUGUCAGAAGAUGAAUAUGCAUCGCCAUCCUCUUGAGACAUUGCAAAGUCACUGGUUUUUCAGAACAUUAUUUUCACCUUCAGGCAGUUUCUUGCAGCAAGAUCCCUGUGCGUACAUUUUUUUCUUGAAAUAACACCACCUAGAAACAGCAUCUAUGAAAUUUUCAUCAGCUGAGUCUUGGAUCACCCUUAGAAAGGGGAAAAAUCCUCUUCAAUGGAAGACUUUUGGAGGGCCUGCUGUGCAUUUACCAGUAUAUAAGAAGUAGGCUAUGUUCCUAGAGAGCGAAAGCAUGACCUCCAUCAGCGUGGCUUUUCCAGUGUGCUACUUCAUCUCCCAUCAUUGAUAAGAGAAAUUUGUACAGCUCCUACUGUGUGCUAGACCCUGUUCAAAGAUAGAUAAUGUCCUUUCCUCAUAGAAUGCCUCGAAGUUGGAUGUACACAAGUGAAAUUGUGUAGAGAGUGGAAGAAGAGAGCAAGAGUCACCACUGGAGAAUAGCUGCAGUGGAGCAGACUCUUACCUGGAUUUGUCAAGAACCAGGGAGGAAAUAGCCGCCCACAUUGCUGGCUUCGGAAAACAUCUGGCUGCAACAAAAAGAACCUAGUCAACUUUUAGUGACUUUUCACUGUACAACACCAACAUCAACCUGUUCUGUGUGUGCAGCUCUUCAGGUUCAUUUUCUAACAAGACCACGAGCCAGCUCUCACACCCAAGUCAUGAUGUGCCAAAGACCUCCUUAGCUUUGCCAUUACAUUCUUCACGGUUUCAUUGGCACACUCCCAGUUGGCAUAGCUCGUCUUUGGCACUCAUUUGGAUGACUUACGUGCCUUCCAAGAGUACAUCAAAAUCUCAGUGUAGUCCUCUGAAUUGUGGUUUCCUGCAGCCUGGUGAGAGCAUGGACAGAGGCGUGGAACAUCCCACUGCAGCAUGGUGUCCCAGUCCCGGGGUGGAUCCUAAAACUAGAGAUCGUGGAGCUGGCCAAACUGAAGACACAUGAGGUGGUGACAGUGAGGUCACAUGGAACAGAUGAACUGCUGGUGCGGUGCCCGAACAGUUGGAGUGCUGGGACUGGUGAUGCAGUGUCCCCAUCAGGUCAGCAUCUUCAGAGGACAGUGAGACUCAGCAGUCAGCCUUGCCCCAGAAACCCUUCAUCUCCUUCCGUCUACAGUGGACCUAGAAGUUGGAGGCGGAAAUGGGGAUGCCAGGAUCCACAUGGGGUAAUCCACUGUGUAGUUCUGAGUGGAUUUGCCAUAACAAGUACAUUAUUUAUGCCUGAUAAUCAUAUGAUGCUGGUCUUUAUAACUAAUUAUUCAUCUUCUGCACUUGAUUUUAUUUUCCAUAAACUUUACCCAUGGAUGAAAGAAGAUUUAAAAAAAAAAGACUUUUCCUCUCUUGACAGAUCUAGACUUUGAAAUAUUGAACCAAGAAAAAAAAAUAAAAAACAAACUGGAAGGUAUGUUGAGAAGUACGCCCAAUUGCUGCCCUGCCUAAUUCUUUUCAGGUGACAAUGAAGUAGCUUUGUAAAGCUUGGAACUGUAUAGGACUCCUGAGUACAUGUCAGCAUUGCCAUUUUUAGCCAGUGUGUGGAAGGAAAGGAGGGAUUUCUUUCCAUGCUGUUGCAGCUAUGUGGUUGUUCAUUUCAGGCGCCCUCUACUGGUAAACUUUAAACCAUAUGAUAAACCAUAGCGUGGCCGUUGCCCAUUGUACUGGAGUUUGUAUGCAUAGUUAAGAUGUUAGUACUGCACUUUGUUUUUCUUUUUUUUUUUAUUUUUCAUAGCUAAUAUCCGUGGGGCUAGCUGUGUUUCUUGGUUUUUGUAUUGUUUAGCUCUAUAAAUGGCCCCAGAAAGUCUCCGAAUAGUGUCUUUAACUACAACAAAGGAGAAUUAUAUGGUUCCUUAAAUUCACACCGUUUGACUUACAACAGUUUUUUAGUGUGAAUGUUUUCAUGUCUUUCUCAUGUCUCAAUUUAUUUGAAAAUCAAUAUUAAGAGCUAUCUAGUAGAACCAACUUAUUAAAUGUGACUUGAGUGUGCAGUAAAAUGUUCAGUUAAGCAAAUGUUUAAGAACGAUACUUUGUUUUGAAAUUCGUUAUGAAUCAUAAAACAGAAGUCAUUUCAUGGUAUUUCUGAGACACGCUCUCAAAUAUUCUUGGUCCAAUAUGUCAGAAUGCAAUUUAUAAUACAAAUAAAGUUUGCUUUAAUUAAAAGAUUUUUUUUGCUGCAAGUCCCAUCUAUUAAUCAGAAAACAUCAGGUAGAGUUUGAAUUACUAGUUUUUUCAUUAGAAGAGGAAGGCUUUCAUUAACUGUAUAUAAAAAGUCUAUUCUCAAUAAGAGGUUUUUGUUUUCCAAACAUACUAUGUAGUAUGAUCCUUUGUGGUCCGAAGGGAUAAGAAAGAUACAAUUCAGGGCUGGCGAUUUACUCUCAGCUGUAGAACAGUGCAGAAACCCUAUUUUUAGUGCUGUGUCUUAGAUUCUUGUGUUCACUUUAUUACUAGGCUGUGUCAGUCAUGUCUCCAGUAAAAAGGGAACUGACUAGUCAGUUAAUGAAUAAAACGUACUGAUUUUAGCAGGUUUUUCAUAUAUUUAAUCUCCAUUUCUUCUUUUGUAUGCUGAACAGGUUCUUUCUUCCUAGGGAGUAAAGUUUGUGUUCCAGGCAUAUUGCAUUUAUAUAUUUAUCAUGUAUACCCUGUUGUUACAUGAAAACAAGUUUCAAUUUGAAGUGCAGCCAUUAUGCGGUACCCAUGUAUACUGGCCAUGCGCCACUGCAGUCCUUAGAGAGUGUUUAUGAUACAUAUUAUAUACUGUGUUUUAUUAUACUUACAAGAUUUUACAAAAUUCUUUUCCUUUUACUCACAAGUCCCUUGUCUUUUGAUUUGUUUAGGUUUUUUCUUCUUGGGUAAAAUAAUGAAGUUUAAUCCCUUUCCUCUACCUUGCCCUCUGUUAGUGUAAUUAGGAAGUGAAUUGCUCAAAUCUCCACAAUUAAAGAGUUUCAGAAGUGUGUGAUACUGGUCACUUGAAUAAAGACUAGAUACAUAAAUGGAAAA